rnacentral:rRNA from 1 species
GCGACCCCAGGUCAGGCGGGGCCACCCGCUGAGUUUAAGCAUAUCAAUAAGCGGAGGAAAAGAAACU